UAGAGAGACAACUCUCAACGGAAGUUACUGUUGACGCUAAGGCAGCCAUAUCUGAUAAUGGCAACGGAAGUUUCCUCGCCUCCGGUCUCCUGUGUGACGUAAUUUUCCCUUCGCCCAAUCUUAUAGUUGCCCUGGGCAACAGUUGAGCCGUCAGGGAAGACACGCAUCUGUGGACAAGAGUUUACGGCGCCGAAAAUCCCUGUCCUGCCCGGAAGUUGCGUUUGACACUUCUGAAAGGGGUCAUGGCGGAAGCAUGGGAAUAGCUUGCGCCCCCCUUUCCCCAGGGAGUACCCAUUCCGACAGGAGUCGCAAAGUGAGUUUAUAUUCAGAAAUCUAACGUAUGUGAAAGAUCAUCUAUCAGUCAACCAUGUAAGUCUUAGGAAGAAACUGCAUCCAAGAAUUCAGAUAUGGCAGAAGUGAAGUCAAUGUUCCGGGAAGUUCUUCCAAAACAAGGGCAGUUGUCUGUGGAAGAUAUAACCACAAUGGUGCUGUGUAAACCCAAACUUUUACCCUUAAAAUCUCUGACUCUGGAAAAACUGGAGAAAAUGCAGCAAGCAGCACAGGAUACAAUUCGCCAACAAGAAGUGACAGAAAAGGAACAGCAGCAAAUAACUCAAUGAAUGGUAACUUAGCACUUCUACAGAACACCCUACCUCUAACUAUUAACAACAGCUAGAAAGCAAUCUACAUCUGUAUGCUGAAAGCAGUUAUGUGUUAAUAAAACAGAUACAGUAUUUGAAUUUAAACACUCUGGUUUGUAUUGAAUAUAAACAAUGAAAAAACUCUGAAACCGGAUUCUGAGUUUAACCCAAGUUCUUAGAACUGCAAAUUAAAUUACUGUUUACCAUUCUGUUUUAUAGACAACAUUCUUAGGCACAAGUGACUAAAUGCAGCUUCUACAGUCAGAGAAUCCUUCACAUGUUCAUUAAAAAAUGAACUUGAAAAUGCAUUCCAGGAGUUCCUAUUGUGGCUCAGCAGUAAUGAACCUGACCAGUAUCUAUAAGGACAAAGAUUUGAUCCCUGACCUUGCUCAGUGGGUUAAGGAUCAGGCAUUGCUGUGACCUGUGGUGUAGGUCACAGACAUGGCAUGAGUCUGGCAUUGCUGUGGCAUAAGCCAGCAGCUGCAACUCAAAUUCAACCCCUAGUCUGGGAACUUCCAUGUGCCACAGGUGUGGCCUUAAAAACAAGAAAAAAAAAUAGUUCUAAUCCUGUAUAAAGUGUUUAUACUAGGCUUUUGUUUUUUUUAAUUAGAAAUUUUGUGUGUCAUGUCACAUGUAAAGCUAUUCUGCCUGACCACCUGAUCCUACUAAUGACAAAACUGUAUUUCUUCCCAUUUUUUAACUUUUUCUUUUGGCUGCCCUGCAGCCUAUGGAAUUCCUGGGCCAGGGAUCAGAUCUGAGCCACAGUUGUGACCUACACUACAGCUGUGGCAAUACAAGAUCCUUUAACCACUGUGCAGGGCUGAGGAUUGAACUUGCAUCCCAGAGCUCCAGAGAUGCCACCAAUCCUACUGAGCCACAGCAGGAACUCCCCAAAACUGUAUUUCUUAGACACAUUUGGUUUUUGAGAAAUCCUCAUCUAUUCAGUUCCCUGAGCUUUUAAUUAUAUUGAUUUUUAAAGACUUAAUUACCUUGCCACCUUUGUCUUCCAGGUAUCAAACACAAUUAAAACCCUAAAAAUGGAAAAUAACAUGGAUUUGGAAGAGCCCAUGAAAUAAAUACAAACAUUAGCUUUGAAGAUUUAAUUCUAAAAGACUGUAGCUAGAAAUGUAAUGGGUAUAUUCCAAGAAUACCUUUGUAAAUUCUGAAUAUAACUCUUGGUUGGUUUGAUGUAUUUUAGUAACAAUUCCAAUCUGCAUGAACCCUGAGACCUCGCCAAGUAAUUGGGCUCUGCAAAAGAGGUCAGAAAUGUGAUCAUUCUUUAGAUAACUGUUAUUCAUUGGUAGCUACUAUUUUCUCAGAUACUAGGUAAAUGUAAAACUUCGGGGUUUUUUUUCUUUUUGGCCUCACGGCAUACAGAAGUUCCUGGACCAGGGAUCAAAUUUGAGCUGCAGCUAUGACCUACACCACAGCUGCAGCAAAGCAAGACCCUUAACCCACUGAGCCACAGCAGAACUCCAAACUUUUGAGUCUUUGAGUAAUAGUUUUUUAUAACACAAACAUUAUUUGGUAAUAGAAUUUAAGGAUGAGGAGUUCCCUUCUCAGCUCAACAGUUAAUGAACCUGACUAGGAUCCAUGAGGUUGCAGGUUCAAUCCCUGACCUUAUUCAGUGGGUUAAGGAUCUGGCAUUGCUGUGAGCUGUGGUAUAUAGGUCGCAGACAUGUCUUAGAUCCCACGUAGCUGUGGCAGUGGCAUAGGCUGGGAGCUGUAGUUCCAAUUCAAUGCCUAGUUUGGAAACUUCCAUAUGCCAUGGGUGCAGGCCUAAAAAGCAACAAAAGAGAAAAGUAUGAAGGAAAGGUAUAUCUGUUUUAGGAAUUUUGUUUUGAGGUCCAAGACAAACAAAUCAAAAAACAAUGAAGUAGUAUAAUAUUACUUCCCAGGUAUAAUAUUAAAAGAAUUUAUUUAAUAUUGUACUCUUUAAGUUUUCAAGGAACAAAGUUUAAAUUCCCUAGGUUUAAACUGCUCCUUUAUGUGAUUUAAAAUGUAAUUGUGUGAAAAAAGUUUAAAAGACCUAAAAUAAAUGUACUCCCAAUAAAGAAUCAACACUGCUUCACAUGUUUUAUUUUGUCAUACAUUCUCUAGAACCGGGUUCAUUUUUCCAGUUUUGUAGAAAAAUAGAUGUUCCAGCCACCAUUUACUUAACUGUCUAGUCUUUAAGACCAAUCAGUAUGUUCCCUGGAAAGAUGAAUAAGUCUCAUGACUAACCCAUUUUCUUAAAAUUCUUUAAGACAAAGAAAUAACUUUUUUUUUUACUCCCAAAGCACAGUAUUUCAACAGCAGCAGCCAACAUGGGGUUUUAGCAGCUUAACUUUACCCCCUAAAUAAAGCUUUGUAUAAACCAGUGAUUUUACUACAAAAACACUGUCCUUGAAAGAAAGGAGUGGCAGUCAGACAAUGCAAAACUUGGAAUGAUUAGGUCAUAAACAUGGCACUUACAAAAGGUAGCUUAUGAGAAUAUUCCACUUAAGAAGUGGUUACUUUUCUGUCCCUCCUUUACACCCUCGGAAAAAAGAAAAAGAAAGAAAAAAAAAACACUUCCUUUAAAAAUUCCCCUUAAAUGUAAGUUUACAAAAUUUCGGAAAUGCCUUAAACCCAAAACAAGUGCUUU